rnacentral:rRNA from 1 species
GAGCACGUAGGUGGGUUUGUUACCCAGAUGUGAAAGCCUUUCGUUCAACGGAAGAAUUGCAUCUGAAACUACAAACCUUGAGUAUAGGAGGGGAGAGUGGAACUUCUGGUGGAGCGGUGAAAUGCGUAGAUAUCAGAAGGAACGCCGGCGGCGAAAGCGACUCUCUGGCCUAUAACUGACACUGAGUGUGCGAAAGCUAGGGGAGCAAACGGGAUUAGAUACCCCGGUAGUCCUAGCCGUAAACGAUGGGCACUAAGUAGGGGGAACUACCGAUGUUCUCUCUGCCGUAGCAAACGCAUUAAGUGCCCCGCCUGGGGAGUACGGCCGCAAGGCUAAAACUCAAAAGAAUUGACGGGGGCUCGCACAAGCGGUGGAGCAUGUGGCUUAAUUCGAUGCAACGCGAAAAACCUUACCGGGGCUUGACAUGGUAGAAGUAGGAACCC